UACGGAGGGGGCGAGCGUUGUCCGAAGUUACUGGGCGUAAAGCGCGCGUAGGCGGGUCGAAAAGUCCGCUGUGAAAGCCCGAGGCUUAACCUCGGCGGGUCGGUGGAUACUGUCGGUCUUGAAGGUGCUAGGGGGAGAUGGAAUUACCGGUGUAGCGGUGAAAUGCGUAGAUAUCGGUAGGAACACCAGUGGCGAAGGCGGUAUCCUGGGGCAUUCUUGACGCUGAGGCGCGAAAGCUGGGGGAGCGAACGGG
rnacentral:rRNA from 1 species